UACGUAGGGUGCAAGCGUUGUCCGGAAUUAUUGGGCGUAAAGAGCUCGUAGGCGGUUUUGUCGCGUCUGCUGUGAAAAAACGCGAGGCUCAACCUCGCGCCUGCAGUGGAUACGGGGCAAAACUGGAGUACUGCAGGGGGAGACUGGAAAUUCCUGGUGUAGCGGUGAAAAAUGCGCAGAUAUCAGGAGGAACACCGGUGGCGAAAGGCGGGGUCUCUGGGGCAGUAAACUGACGCUGAGGAGCGAAAAAGCGUGGGGGGAGCGAAACAGG
rnacentral:rRNA from 1 species